rnacentral:rRNA from 1 species
UUAAGUCCGCAACGAGCGCAACCCUUGCUUUAGUUGCCAUCAUUAAGUUGGGCACUCUAAAGAGACUGCCGGUGUCAAACCGGAGGAAGGUGGGGAUGACGUCAAGUCCUCAUGGCCUUUAUGACCAGGGCUACACACGUACUACAAUGGCAGGUACAAAGGGCAGCCACUUAGCGAUAAGGCGCGAAUCCCGUAAAACCUGUCUCAGUCCGGAUUGGAGUCUGCAACUCGACUCCAUGAAGUUGGAAUCGCUAGUAAUCGCAGAUCAGCACGCUGCGGUGAAUACGUUCCCGGGCCUU